rnacentral:rRNA from 1 species
UACGGAGGGAGCUAGCGUUGUUCGGAAUUACUGGGCGCAAAGCGCACGUAGGCGGCUUUGUAAGUUAGAGGUGAAAGCCCGGAGCUCAACUCCGGAACUGCCUUUAAGACUGCAUCGCUUGAAUCCAGGAGAGGUGAGUGGAAUUCCGAGUGUAGAGGUGAAAUUCGUAGAUAUUCGGAAGAACACCAGUGGCGAAGGCGGCUCACUGGACUGGUAUUGACGCUGAGGUGCGAAAGCGUGGGGAGCAAACAGG